rnacentral:rRNA from 1 species
UAAGCUGCCAGAUUUCUCAAGAGACUUAUCCGGCCGGCUACAGACCCUUUAGACCCAAUAAUAACGGUUACCACUCGAGCCGCCGGUGUUACCGCGGCGGCUGGCACCGGUCUUGCCCGGCCCUUGCUAUGAAAUGCUUUUUAGGCAUCUCGACAGCCAGAUUUGUAACCUGGCACUCGAGGUUCCCUUAUCGCUGUUGCCAGCAUUGUAAAGUUUUCGCGCCUGCUGCACCCCGUAGGGCCUGGAUUCGUGUCUCAGAAUCCAUCUCCGGGCUCUUGCUCUCACAACCCGUACCCGUCGUAGGCUAGUAGGUACGCUACACCCACUACUACCUGAUAGGCCGCAGACCCAUCCUUGGGCGCCGGAGCUUUAAAUCUCGAUGCAUUCCAGCAAUCGAGACCUAUCGGGUAUUAUACCCAGUUUCCCGGGUUUAUACCCAACCUAAGGGCAGGUUGUCCACGUGUUACUGAGCAGUUCGCCAUGU